GAUGAACGCUGGCGGCGUGCCUAAUACAUGCAAGUCGAGCGAACAGACGAGGAGCUUGCUCCUCUGACGUUAGCGGCGGACGGGUGAGUAACACGUGGAUAACCUACCUAUAAGACUGGGAUAACUUCGGGAAACCGGAGCUAAUACCGGAUAAUAUAUUGAACCGCAUGGUUCAAUAGUGAAAGACGGUCUUGCUGUCACUUAUAGAUGGAUCCGCGCCGCAUUGGCUAGUUGGUAAGGUAACGGCUUACCAAGGCAACGAUGCGUAGCCGACCUGAGAGGGUGAUCGGCCACACUGGAACUGAGACACGGUCCAGACUCCUACGGGAGGCAGCAGUAGGGAAUCUUCCGCAAUGGGCGAAAGCUUGACGGAGCAACGCCGCGUGAGUGAUGAAGGUCUUCGGAUCGUAAAACUCUGUUAUUAGGGAAGAACAAAUGUGUAAGUAACUAUGCACGUCUUGACGGUACCUAAUCAGAAAGCCACGGCUAACUACGUG
rnacentral:rRNA from 1 species